AGGCUGUGAACUCGAAGAGUAGGGCGGGACACGUGGUAUCCUGUCUGAAUAUGGGGGGACCAUCCUCCAAGGCUAAAUACUCCUGACUGACCGAUAGUGAACCAGUACCGUGAGGGAAAGGCGAAAAGAACCCCGGCGAGGGGAGUGAAAAAGAACCUGAAACCGUGUACGUACAAGCAGUGGGAGCACCUUCGGGUGUGACUGCGUACCUUUUGUAUAAUGGGUCAGCGACUUAUAUUCUGUAGCAAGGUUAACCGUAUAGGGGAGCCGCAGGGAAACCGAGUCUUAACUGGGCGUUAAGUUGCAGGGUAUAGACCCGAAACCCGGUGAUCUAGCCAUGGGCAGGUUGAAGGUUGGGUAACACUAACUGGAGGACCGAACCGACUAAUGUUGAAAAAUUAGCGGAUGACUUGUGGCUGGGGGUGAAAGGCCAAUCAAACCGGGAGAUAGCUGGUUCUCCCCGAAAGCUAUUUAGGUAGCGCCUCGUGAACUCAUCUUCGGGGGUAGAGCACUGUUUCGGCUAGGGGGUCAUCCCGACUUACCAACCCGAUGCAAACUACGAAUACCGAAGAAUGUUAUCACGGGAGACACACGGCGGGUGCUAACGUCCGUCGUGAAGAGGGAAACAACCCAGACCGCCAGCUAAGGUCCCAAAGUCAUGGUUAAGUGGGAAACGAUGUGGGAAGGCACAGACAGCCAGGAUGUUGGCUUAGAAGCAGCCAUCAUUUAAAGAAAGCGUAAUAGCUCACUGGUCGAGUCGGCCUGCGCGGAAGAUGUAACGGGGCUAAACCAUGCACCGAAGCUGCGGCAGCGACACUAUGUGUUGUUGGGUAGGGGAGCG
rnacentral:rRNA from 1 species